UUGGCGAUUAUCAAAAAGGGGGGUUAAAAAUGGUUGAUUUUGAUAGCUAUUUUACAUCACUGAAAGCUUCAUGGGUUUCCAAAUUUAAUUCAACCACUAUGCCGAACUGGAAGAUUAUUCCUACCAAAUAUUUCAACAAUCUGGGAAAAAAUUAUCUUGUCUUUAACAUGAAUUUAGAUAAUGUUAAAUCACUAAAAGAAUUUGAAAAUAUACCAGACUUUUAUUUGCAAGUAAUUUCAAGCUGGGUGAAAACAGGGG
rnacentral:lncRNA from 1 species